rnacentral:rRNA from 1 species
UACAGAGGUCUCAAGCGUUGUUCGGAUUCAUUGGGCGUAAAGGGUGCGUAGGUGGCGCCAUAAGUCAGGUGUGAAAUCUCGGGGCUUAACUCCGAAACUGCAUUCGAUACUGCGGUGCUUGAGGACUGGAGAGGAGACUGGAAUUCAUGGUGUAGCAGUGAAAUGCGUAGAGAUCAUGAGGAAGACCAGUGGCGAAGGCGGGUCUCUGGACAGUUCCUGACACUGAGGCACGAAGGCCAGGGGAGCAAACGGG